AGAUAAUGUUUCACCAGACAACUCACCUAAGAGUUUACGUCAACAUUCUCAACAGCAAAAUCGUUCCAACAAUGGAGACAUCAACAAUUAUCAUGUCUCACCAGACAGCUCACCUAAGAAUUUACGUCAACAUUCUCAACAGCAAAAUCGUUUCAACAUUAGAGACCUUAACAAUUAUCAUAUCUCACUAGGGAGCUCACCAAUCAGUUCAAGUCAAAAUUCUCAACAACAAACUAGUUUUGCACCCAUUUCUAGCACACCGGUCCAUAAACGAAACUUAAUUAAGGAGACACAAUCGGAUAGUAAUUCCUUGAGUGUUUCCCGCAUAUCCCAUCAUAAAGGAAACGAUGCUGAACCAUCCGCUUCGAAUAUUAAGCUACCAAAUGAGAUCGUGGACUACCUAACAAAAUCAAAGGUCCGACAGGACGAGCUUUUUCGAGUAGUUCAGUCCCUGGUUGCUAGUAGACCAAUCACUACGUCUGAGAAAGAACACGACGAUUUCGUAGAUAAACUUCCCGAUUUCCCUAUU